rnacentral:rRNA from 1 species
GCAUAAUCUCUGAGGAGAAAAGCAGGGGAUCGCAAGACCUUGCGCUUUUGGAGCGGCCGAUGCCUGAUUAGCUUGUUGGUAAGGUAAAAGCUUACCAAGGCUUCGAUCAGUAGCUGGUCUGAGAGGACGGCCAGCCACACUGGGACUGAGACACGGCCCAGACUCCUACGGGAGGCAGCAGUGGGGAAUUUUGGACAAUGGGGGCAACCCUGAUCCAGCCAUGCCGCGUGAGUGAAGAAGGCCUUCGGGUUGUAAAGCUCUUUCAGCCGGAACGAAACGGUUACGGUUAAUACCCGUGACUAAUGACGGUACCGGAAGAAGAAG